rnacentral:lncRNA from 1 species
CCCAGGGCACGCAGCAGCACACCAUUCCCUUCCCACAGCCUCCACCUCAGGCUGUCCCUGUGCCAAGGCGUUUGUGGCCCCGGCUUGGAGCUGGGCCCACACCAGAGCCUUGAUGAUGUGCAUCCCAAUGGAGCGAGGUUUUUUUCUGGUGCUGGAUGGAGAACUGCAAAAAUAAUUUUCCAGAAUGAGUUCAGAUAACAGUUGUUGCUGUGGACUAUCUUGCCAGUGAUUGUUUCCUGAAAUAUCGGUGGCUCAUCAAGGAGAAAUGAAUAUACUGAAGGGAAAUUCUUUCUAAGAUGUGAAUUGAGUGUCUGAGGAAAAUGUUGAGUUUCCUGGGACAGGUCAUCACAUGGAAUUUCAAGUUAUUACCAGUUGGAAGCUGCUGGAUCUUCCUGAGAAUACUUUUUACACUGAACCAGUGUGAUUCAUCGGUCGCUUCCAGCCAGAACUCAGACUGUGACCACAUCAGACUCAGUUGUCUGCUGGCUUCUCCAUUCGCAUCAGGAAAGUACUCAUCCAGAGCUCGUGGGGACUGCCUGGAACAAAAAUGAUAUGCAAAUGGCUUUGGUGGGUCCAAAGGCAUAAAAGGUCUGAAGAGGCCAGCCCUGGUCAUGGUCAACAGAUGAAGCAUAAGCAAACAGGGAGGUUAUUGAUUCAGCGCAGCAGUACCCUUUCUUCUAAUGCAAGGUCAGAGUAAAAGUUUGUCCAGAGACUGUUCAGGAGAUGCUGGAAUGAGUGCCAUCAGCUGCUCCAUCUUUUUAGAGAUUUAAAUACUUUCCAAGGGUUUCUGUUUCUGCAGCUUUGAUGUAGCUGGCAUGAGGAAGGAAUGGGAUUUGGAACAUGCUGGGGGAAUGUCUGCAUUUGUAUCAGUGCCCUGCAUGAAGACUUAUGUGCUGGGAGAUCAGAUCCACUCAUUCAAAUGAACUUCACACACGACAGUCCCCGUCCCUUGUCAGAAGCAGCAUGUGUCAUGCCUUGAAUCCUGCUCAGACCUGGGCCUGAACCCAACAGCUUGCAGAUGGAAUUGGCAGCUUGAGCUAAAGCAGAGCAUCUCACAAUUGGAGGUGUCAGAUCAGAGCACUCUCCACUUCUAUGAAUGUGGGAAUCUGGGUCAUGUCAUGCCUUGGCCAUUGUAAUGAAUGACAUUAGGUUCCUUUCUGCCACCUUUUCUGGAAAGGAGCUCGCUGAUUGAUAGGCAUAUGUACAAAACCACCUACAUGCGUUAGUUGACCCUGACAUAACUUCAGAAUACAUCCCAGGGUGACUUAAGAUAGAUCCAACCCGAAAGGCAGGCAAUUUAAAAUCUCAUCCCAUCAACUCCUGGUGCUGUACCAACGCAGCCGGCGGUGGUGGCCAGGUGUGCAGAAACACAGCGCUCUGUGCCCACAGUGCACACCGCAGCACCUGGCUGCCUGCAUAGGUGCCAUCAAUCACACAAGAACUGCAAUCCCCGUGCAUAUUCUGAGCCCUUGUGCCCAGCUAAGUGACAAAUGGAAGUUAAAGCUGUCAGCACGAUGGAAGCAAUGCAGCUGCGUAAGCCCAAGUGGGGGUAAAAAUAUCUUAGAAAAUGACAAAGGCAAGAUGAUGCACAACCCCUCCUUGCAGCCGCUGAAACGUGGGCCAGAAGUACUGCUCAGUGUUCUGAUCUCAGGCUGAGCUUUGGAAACCAGGGAUGAAGCCUCUUCUGAGCUGAGAACUGAGCCAAUUCAGAGCUGCAAGUGGCUUUCCUUCCAGCAUCUCCUCCUUUGUCCUCCCCUGUUCCCAUCUUUGCCACCGUUUGGAGUAGCAUGGGGACUCUGCCACAGGCAGCACUUUAUAAAUAGCGGAGAUAAAAGGCUUUUCCUGUUGGACCACUGAGUGAGGUUCACAUCGUUUUCCAGAUCCAAAUAAAACUCUUUUCUCCUCACUCAGCAGAAAUGGUCAGUAUUUUCCCAACAGAGGACCUAAUCUGAAGUUAAUGGACACCUGCCUAGUGGUCUCAAGUUGUUUGCAUCCAGCCCAGAGCAGUUGCUGGGGGCCAGUGGCACAGAGCUGCUGCUAUCCACCCUCCAAACAGGGAUGUUAAAAAUUAAAAGGGCUUAAUGGCUGUACCAGCAUGUCCUCUGACCUGCGGUGGUACAUGUGCUUCCUGAUUAAACAGCAAUGCCUCAGCUAUGUGCAUGGGGCUCAGUUUUGCAACACCUGAAAACAAAUAUUCCCUACCAAGCAGGGAGGCUAAGAAAUUGGGAGAGAAAUACAUGGACCGUAUGACCAGCUCUGCAGUCUGCAAAGAGGAUCAACCCAGCUGUCAGCUAGUCCUGCGCUGGAAGUCUGAUGGCGAGCAGCACCUUCACCCAGAAGUGCCAUUUCAAGAGGACUGUCAGCGCAGAAGCCUUCUUUCUGUUAAGUGCUGGGUGUUACAACACAGUCUUGCAUUGGGCAAGUGAAAUGAGUAAGCUGAGUUCCUGGCACCGGCUGGAAACUCUGAGACUGGCUGCUUCGGUGAGCUGGAGGCCACCAGUUUGGAUCUCCAUGGAAACUUCCCUGUUCCUCACUACCAGCCACCCACUCUCACCUCCCCUCUGCAGAAGUGGAAGAUGAGCACACAGCAUCCACCCCACCAUGUAGAUGCGGACAGGGCCGCAUCACAUGCACAUGUUUUGUAACUGUAUGUGCACUGCUCACCCCCUCAUCCCAUCUCCCCCGCAGGAGCCAUGCAGAACCACAACCUGCCACAGCCUGCCCUCCAACACCAGUGUGCAGAGCAAAUUAUACACUUCAGCAUGGGCAGAAAGAGGGAGGGAAGCUUCAGGGAGUCAGGCUGUUCUCAAUUAGCAGUUAUCUCCAGCAGCUUAUCUGAUUAAUGGCUGCACCUCACACUGUGCCUGGGUAAUAGGUGCAGGGAAGGUGCUUUAAAAGUGCUUUGCUCCUAAUUACUGUGGAGACUGACACAGUGGGUAUCUCUCGUUAGAGUAAACAUCUUCCAGUCCUUCCCCCCCCCUGCCCUGCUCAGAUCUAUGCACAUACCAAAGCUGGGCCUGGGCAGACAGCACAGGUGGGAGCAGGGCAGGUACAGGAGCCAGCAGGAACCUGAGCACUGCGGGGCUGAGCAAAGCUCCGUGCUGCCAUCCACACUAAGCUCCUCACAUCUUCAAGCCCUCUCUCAUUCCUAUGUAUAUCAACAGGUCUUUGGGGUUGGGUUAGGCUUAGGACACACUGGCACAACCAGCAGACGUAUGUGCAGAACUGGUUUCAGCAGUGUGGGACAGGCACAUCAGGAGGAGAUGAGAAUGACCAGGCAGUUCCUUUGCAUCAGGCUUAUAGGAUCACGAUAGUCACCAAACUGACAAGAAUUUGGAGAUCUUAUCAGAUAUUUUGAUCUAAAAAACACCAAAGCCAUGGCUGUACUGCAAAGGAAUACAACAUAUCCUAAUCACAGCUGAAUUACACCAAAAUUACUAGCAAUUUGUGGCUAUCUGAGGGACUCCUGCUUCCCUCUCUUUCUUUUCAAGAAGUUCACGUAAUUUCACACUCACUGCAAAGUAAAGAAAGGUUUAAAAGUACACUUACCUUUUGAAAAUACCAACUCUUCUUUAGAAAUGAGCACUGGUGAAUUAUGAAUGAAGGCACACAGAGCUGAAAGCUCCUGCUUAUACAUUUUUAAAUGUAGCCUUUCGCUUCUGAUAAUGCUUUGAAAAACCAACUGGACUGGAGCUUACAGUCCAUGGCAAAAACUACCACUUUCCCUGAUCUGAAGAGUCCUGGCUGCCUCAGAGAGGUUACACCUGGUGCUGUCUCCCUUGUAGCCUGGAGGAGAGGGCAGCAGCUCAAAAUAAUAAUAGCAAUAACAAUGAUAAUGGUAAUGAUGAUGAUGAUAUUAGUAAUAAACCAAAUUUCCAGCUCUGGAGCUCUUAUUUUUGGCUCUUUGCUUGGCAGGAUGGUUGUUGGUGUGGAGGCGCCCGGCCCCACUAAGGGACCUCUGUGAGCAAGGGAUGUGUCCAGCACACAGACCUGGGCACAGACCCUGACAUGGCACAGCUGUGCCUUGCCUGUGCGUUCUAUUUCAUAGGACUCAUAACCAUCCUGUUGGAUGACAAGAUGUCCUACCUGCAGGACCAGCUGUGCCCAUUCAAGUACUCACACGGCUGUACCAUCCUUCUAGUCCCAAGCUUUGCCCCAUUCAAACUACCCAAAAUGAGUUUUCAUGAACCAGAGACAUCUUUGGCCCAUUCUCCUGGGACACACAGGGACAGAGUCCAGGCUGAUUUUUGCAGUAGCAGAAGGUGUCACACAUUUUCCUGGCUAUACAGAUGAGGAGAUACCAGCCAAACUCAUGUGAGAAGAGAGCUGCUUUCCACAUAGACACUGGAU